rnacentral:rRNA from 1 species
AUUGAACGCUGGCGGCAGGCCUAACACAUGCAAGUCGAGCGAGCGGCGGACGGGUGAGAAUUGUCUGGGAAACUGCCUGAUGGAGGGGGAUAACAACUGGAAAAGGUAGCUAAUACCGCAUACCAUAAGAUGUGACCCGAUGGGAUUAGCUAGUAGGUGGGGUAAUGGCGCACCUAGGCGACGAUCACUAGCUGGUCUGAGAGGGGGACCAGCCACACUGGAACUGAUACACGGUCCAGACUCCUACGGGAGGCAGCAGUGGGGAAUAUUACACAAUGGGCGCAAGCCUGAUGCAGCCAUGCCGCGUGUGUGAAGAAGGCCUUCGGGUUGUAAAGCACUUUCAGCGGGGAGGCGUUACCCGCAGAAGAAGCACCGGCUAACUCCGUGCCAGCAGCCGCGGUAAUUC